UACGUAGGUGGCAAGCGUUGUCCGGAAUUAUUGGGCGUAAAGCGCGCGCAGGCGGUCCUUUAAGUCUGAUGUGAAAGCCCACGGCUCAACCGUGGAGGGUCAUUGGAAACUGGGGGACUUGAGUACAGAAGAGAAGAGUGGAAUUCCACGUGUAGCGGUGGAAUGCGUAGAGAUCGGGAGGAACAUCAGUUGCGAAGGCGGCUCUCUGGACCAGCACUGACACUGAGGCACGAAGGCCAGGGGAGCAAACAGG
rnacentral:rRNA from 1 species